rnacentral:rRNA from 1 species
ACGGAGGAUCCAAGCGUUAUCCGGAUUUAUUGGGUUUAAAGGGUGCGUAGGCGGAAUUGUAAGUCAGUGGUGAAAUCCUACAGCUUAACUGUAGAACGGCCAUUGAUACUGCAAAUCUUGAGUACAUUUGAAGUGGGCGGAAUGUGUCAUGUAGCGGUGAAAUGCUUAGAUAUGACACAGAACACCGAUUGCGAAGGCAGCUCACUAAACUGUAACUGACGCUGAGGCACGAAAGCGUGGGGAGCAAACAG